rnacentral:rRNA from 1 species
UACGUAGGGUGCGAGCGUUAAUCGAAAUUACUGGGCGUAAAGCGUGCGUAGACGGUUGCGUAAGUCAGAUGUGAAAGCCCCGGGCUCAACCUGGGAAUUGCAUUUGAGACUGCGUAGCUAGGGUGCGGAAGAGGGAAGCGGAAUUCCCGGUGUAGUGGUGAAAUGCGUAGGGAUCGGGAGGAACACCAGUGGCGAAGGCGGCUUGCCAGAACGCGCUCGACGGUGAGGGAUGAAAGCUGGGGGAGCAAACCGG